rnacentral:rRNA from 1 species
AGCCCUGAGAUGAGUCUUCCCUGAUACUUUAAGUAUCCUAAAGGGUUGUUCGAGACUAGAACGUUGAUAGGCAGGGUGUGUAAGCGUUGUGAGGCGUUGAGCUAACCUGUACUAAUUGCCCGUGAGGCUUAACCAUACAACACCCAAGGGGUUUUGUA